rnacentral:rRNA from 1 species
AGAGUUUGAUCCUGGCUCAGGAUGAACGCUGGCGGCGUGCCUAACACAUGCAAGUCGAGCGAUCUCUUCGGAGAGAGCGGCGGACGGGUGAGUAACGCGUGGGUAACCUGCCCUGUACACACGGAUAACAUACCGAAAGGUAUACUAAUACGGGAUAAUAUACGAAAGUCGCAUGGCUUUUGUAUCAAAGCUCCGGCGGUACAGGAUGGACCCGCGUCUGAUUAGCUAGUUGGUAAGGUAAUGGCUUACCAAGGCAACGAUCAGUAGCCGACCUGAGAGGGUGAUCGGCCACACUGGAACUGAGACACGGUCCAGACUCCUACGGGAGGCAGCAGUGGGGAAUAUUGCACAAUGGGCGAAAGCCUGAUGCAGCAACGCCGCGUGAGCGAUGAAGGCCUUCGGGUCGUAAAGCUCUGUCCUCAAGGAAGAUAAUGACGGUACUUGAGGAGGAAGCCCCGGCUAACUACGUGCCAGCAGCCGCGGUAAUACGUAGGGGGCUAGCGUUAUCCGGAAUUACUGGGCGUAAAGGGUGCGUAGGUGGUUUUUUAAGUCAGAAGUGAAAGGCUACGGCUCAACCGUAGUAAGCUUUUGAAACUAGAGAACUUGAGUGCAGGAGAGGAGAGUAGAAUUCCUAGUGUAGCGGUGAAAUGCGUAGAUAUUAGGAGGAAUACCAGUAGCGAAGGCGGCUCUCUGGACUGUAACUGACACUGAGGCACGAAAGCGUGGGGAGCAAACAGGAUAGAUACCCUGGUAGUCCACGCCGUAAACGAUGAGUACUAGGU